rnacentral:rRNA from 2 species
AUUAGGUUGCUAGGAGGAGCUGCGUCCCAUAGCUAGUUGUGGGGUAAGGCUACAAGACUAUGAUGGUAGCCGGGCUGAGAGGUGAACGGCACAUUGGGACUGAGACACGGACCCAAACUCCUACGGAGGCAGCAGUAGGGAAUUUCGGCAAUGGAGGAAACUCUGACCGAGCAACGCCGCGUGAACGAUGAAGUAUUUCGGUACGUAAGUUCUUUUAUUAGGGAAGAAUAAAUGAUGGAAAAAUCAUUCUGACGGUACCUAAUGAAUAAGCCCCGGCUAACUAUGUGCCAGCAGCCGCGGUAAUACAUAGGGGGCAAGCGUUAUCCGGAAUUAUUGGGCGUAAAGGGUGCGUAGGCUGUUAAAUAAGUUUAUGGUCUAAGUGCAAUGCUCAACAUUGUGAUGCUAUAAAAACUGUUUAGCUAGAGUAAGAUAGAGGCAAGUGGAAUUCCAUGUGUAGUGGUAAAAUGCGUAAAUAUAUGGAGGAACACCAGUAGCGAAGGCGGCUUGCUGGGUCUUUACUGUCGCUGAGGCACGAAAGCGUGGGGAGCAAACAGGAUUAGAUACCCUGGUAGUCCACGCCGUAAACGAUGAGUACUAAACGUUGGGUAAAACCAGUGUUGAAGUUAACACAUUAAGUACUCCGCCUGAGUAGUACGUACGCAAGUAUGAAACUUAAAGGAAUUGACGGGACUCCGCACAAGCGGUGGAUCAUGUUGUUUAAUUCGAAGGUACCCGAAAAACCUCACCAGGUCUUGACAUGCUUUUGCAAAGCUGUAGAAACACAGUGGAGGUUAUCAGUUGCACAGGUGGUGCAUGGUUGUCGUCAGCUCGUGUCGUGAGAUGUUGGGUUAAGUCCCGCAACGAGCGCAACCCUUAUUGUUAGUUGCCAGCACGUAAUGGUGGGGACUUUAGCAAGACUGCCAGUGAUAAAUUGGAGGAAGGUGGGGACGACGUCAAAUCAUCAUGCCCCUUAUGACCUGGGCUACAAACGUGAUACAAUGGCUGUUACAAAGGGUAGCUGAAACGCAAGUUUUUGGCGAAUCUCAAAAAAACAGUCUCAGUUCGGUUUGAAGUCUGCAACUCGACUUCAUGAAGUUGGAAUCGCUAGUAAUCGCG